AUGUACAUUCCUACAACAUAGCGUUAAUGCAUCAUAUCCCAUCAGAACUCCACAAUUAAGUGCACUCGAGAUAUAUUAAUAUUGGGAUGGGUGACCACCUGGCAAGUCAUAAUACUUUACAUA
rfam:Picea glauca, whole genome shotgun sequence.